rnacentral:misc_RNA from 1 species
GAUGAAGAACGUAGCAAAAUGCGAUAAGUAAUGUGAAUUGCAGAAUUCAGUGAAUCAUCGAAUCUUUGAACGCACAUUGCGCCCGCCAGUAUUCUGGCGGGCAUGCCUGUUCGAGCGUCAUUUCAACCCUCAAGCACAGCUUGUGUUGGGACUCGCGUUAAUUCGCGUUCCCCAAAUUGAUUGGCGGUCACGUCGAGCUUCCAUAGCGUAGUAGUAAAACCCUCGUUACUGGUAAUCGUCGCGGCCACGCCGUUAAACCCCAACUUCUGAAUGUUGACCUCGGAUCAGGUAGGAAUACCCGCUGAACUUAAGCAUAUCAAUAAGCGGAGGA